rnacentral:rRNA from 1 species
GUGUCAGCCGCCGCGGUAAGACGGAGGAGGCAAGCAUUGUCCGGAAUUAUUGGGCGUAAAGAACACGUAGGCGGUUUGUCAAGUCAUAUGUGAAAACCUUGGGCUUAACUUAAGGAUUGCAUGUGAUACUGGCAAACUAGAGUAUAGUAGAGGAAAGCGGAAUUCCUGGUGUAGCGGUGAAAUGCGCAGAUAUCAGGAAGAACACCAGUGGCGAAAGCGGCUUUCUGGACUGUUACUGACGCUGAGGUGUGAAAGCUAGGGGAGCGAACAGGAUUAGAUACCCUGGUAGUCCUAGCCGUAAACGAUGGACACUAGGUGGGGGGAGUUAUCGACGCUCUCUGUGCCGAAGCUAACGCAUUAAGUGUCCCGCCUGGGGAGUACGGUCGCAAGACUAAAACUCAAAUAAAUUGACGG